UUUAAAAUCUGGUAUAAAGUACUAGAAUUGUAAUCUACAGGAAUUCUCAGAAGAAACGAAUCGGUCAUAAGUCCCUUGGAAAAGGGUGCCAAAGAGGGUGAUAGCCCCGUCUUAGGAUCGAGGAGUUCGUAUGAGGGUUUUCUAAGAGUCGGGUAGUUUGGGAAUGCUGCCCUAAUUAGGAGAUAUACUUCUUCUAAGGCUAAAUAUCUAUAGGAGACCGAUAGCAUACAAGUACUGCGAAGGAAAGAUGAAAAGAACUUUGAAAAGAGGGUUAAAAGAUUUGAAAUCGUUGAAAAGGAAGCGGUAAAAGAGAAAUUGUUUCCUGCAAAACGACGGCAACCGAAGGUGUAGAGUACUUAACAGGGCUCGAAACUGGAAGAAAAAAACCGGCAGUUUGCAGGGAAAAGGCAAAAUGAGAUCGAGCUGGAAGAAAAAGGGGAAGCGUGUAUUCGUAACCCAGAAAUUUCAGAGCGGUCUGAGGGAUCUUAGGAUGAUUUUGCCAAAAUGGCUUUUACCGACCCGUCUUGAAACACGGACCAAGGAGUCUACCCAUUAUGCGAGUGUGAGGGUGAAAAAACCUGAACGCAUACCGAAAGGGAGUAAAAGAUGUGAGAUGUAAUAAUCGCAACAUCGACCAACUCUGAUCCUCUGGAGAAGGGCAUGAGUAAGAGCAUAAUUGGUAGGACCCGAAAGAUGGUGAACUACACUUGAGUAGGGUGAAGCCAGGGGAAACUCUGGUGGAGGCUCGUAGCG
rnacentral:rRNA from 1 species